AAACAAUAUGGCAGCCCCCAUGUCUUAACAAGUUUCGAGAAUUUCUUUACGAUAUAUAGUAAAUAAAGAUAAACAAUGUUGGAGCCAGAUGCAGAUGAAGCGGAGGCUUUAAUGAAAAAGCUCCUACUACAGUCGGGAUUACAGGAUGGCGGGGCUGACCCUAACAACAAAGUUCCCUUUACCACAGUUGUCCCAAGACCAGGAUUUUGUGCUAAAACAAAGAAAGAAAAUGGUGAAAAGGUUUUCAUAAAUAUCUGCCAAGCUGACAAUGUUCCACAACCAAAGGACAUUACGGAGGAAGACCUACUGAAGCUGUUGGAAUCGGAGGAUCCCUUCGGAUUUCGUGUCCCAAUGAGCAUUGGAGAACCCCAUGCUGAGAUAGAUAAAAGUGGGCAGGGCUGUACAGCCUAUGAUGUUGUGAUACACCCCAGUUUCUUUGAGAAGAUGAAGGACAGUGAGGUUUUCCGGACAUUCUUUAUGUCAGUGACCUUGGAGGGUCUGGAGGAGAAGUACUCAAUCACACUCUCUAGAGACUUGGUCCUUCUAAAGAAUAGGAAGUCAGUGGGAAGACUUCAGGAACAGAAUGUUCGGACACAGUCCAAACCGGUGAUCAUGGAAAUGGGAGAGUAAGUACAAGGCACCAACACACUUUCAUUUACCGUAUAUUUUUUCAAUUGAAAUUAGCAGGAGGUACAAUAUUUUGCUCUUCAUAUAUGUAGCUCAACAGUUAUUUAAUGGUACAGUUACAUUCAUUAUUCAGCCAAGGGAUGUAUGGGCCUGGGAAACCAUUGAUCCAAGAGAUGGACACACCGAAGCCACUAUCUCAAGAGGAACUCAAAGCCAGAGGUCAGAAGCCCGAGUUUCAGAUUGUUCAGGAACCUGCAGAAGGACACCCAGAAUUCCUUGUAGCAGAAAUAAGCCUGCCACAUGUGAAAAUGGCCAGCACACUUAGUGUGGAUGUUGGAGAGGACCGAAUUGUCCUGGAAACUAGGUCAAACAAAUACUACCUUGACAUAUUUCUUCCUUACUUACUGAUACAAGAGGACUGUGUGGCACAGUUUAACCGCAAAACUAGGAUUCUAACGCUAACGUUACCUGUCCAGUCAGAGUCGUAAACACUGAUAGCACCUAGAUUUCAUCUUCUGCCGUCCAUAUAUCCUUGACAAUAUUCUUCACGUUGCUUGUUCAGUGAACAUUCUGUGAUAUAUGUGAUACAUUUAUCUCAAUGUUACAGCAGAUCUGUGAGGCAUUCAUAUCUCUUUUUAUACAUGUACAGUCCAUAAUAAAAAAUUAUUUUUGUU
rnacentral:misc_RNA from 1 species